GCUCCGCGUUUACGGCGCCGGACGUUUAGCGGGGUCCCGGGCAGCGGCGGCGGUUUGCUCCGUCAGCCUCCCCGCCUCUUGAGGUGACCUGAGCUCGCGGGGAGGGCCGGCACCGCCGGACAUCGCCUGCAGCGGUCCUGGUGGUGGUGGGUCAUCCCGAUCGGCUGUAGGAGUUCGAGGUUUCCUAACCGAGCGCUCCCGAAAUUGGCGAGGAAAGCGUGAAAAGCGAGGCGACGGCUGCGAGCGGUCUUCAAACAGCCGGUAACCUUACCCGCUCCCUGCUCUCCACAGCCCGCACCAGAUCUUUCCCACAGAACUAAACCUCCUCCAGAGUCCCAGGAAAGAUAUGAAGCCACGUGGAAAUUACAACCUGAAAAUGACUUGUGCCAGCAUCGUGUGCAUUACAAAAGCCAGGGUUCACUCCUCAAAUACGACCCGCUGCGCUGAGGAGUAAGGACUGAACACAGAAUUGACAAGAACACCUUGGUGUGGCUCCUACCUUUUUUGCAGAAGUUGUCCUUCUCUAAAAGAAACAUUUAAAUGCCAUGUGACAGUGCACCAGAGAACUCUGUAUUAGGGAGCAGUUGCAAAUUUGAGCAGCACUGAGAAUAAUGAUUAUGACUUUUAGAUUCGGGGUACCUAAGUCUACCUACAGACGUUCAGGCGAGCGAUUGACCAUUACAGGGACUUGCACUGACCUGGUGUCCUCCUGCCCUGGCUGCUGCGUGUUGUUCUAUUACUGCCUACUACAAGUCACCCUUCCUGUUGGGAUGACAGGCAGUGAGCUGCUCGUCAUUAUUUCAGAUUCAGUCACAGGAACGUACCUGAGUUUCAGUACAGAAAUAUCCAAUUGCCAAACAGAAUCAUUCAGAAGCUUCCAAGGAUCAUCUGCAAAUUCCCACCCGUGGCAGCAGAAGACCAAAAUCAUUAGCGCCAGCUUGGACCUGAGAGCUGGCUGUGCAAACUGCAUGGCAAUCCAGAAUGGGCAGAUACUCAUUUCAGAUUCAUUCUGAAAAUGAUCAACGGAGGAUUCUCUUCUAGAGGAUGACUCCCUUCUUUAAUGAAGCAAAGGUGUCUUCUGCACCCCCUAUCUCCUACCAAAAGGGAGAAAACAAAAUGCAAGGGAGGAGGUGUGACUGAGCAGAAUUCAACAGUGCUCGUCACUCAUUGGCGCUGUAUGUCACAGAAUAAAUCAGAGUCCUCCAUUUUACUUUUGCUGGGUCUUGAGGCCAGCAUGGGACGAUAUCCUCAGUCAGGAGGGUGUAAUAUACUGCUUGUCUUUUCUGCUCUGCUAAAUCAAGCUAUUUUGCAGGAGAGAACACAAAUUGUCAAGCUAUCCCUGGCAUUCAUUCUUUCUAGAGCUUAUUCUUCACCAGGGAUCCAGUUGUACUUACUCUGGAAUAUGCUCUGUCAUAUUCUUUGAGCCUGAGGGCGUAUCACAAAAAAAUAAUCCACAGAUUCUUCUUUUUUUUUUUUAAUUUAGCUUUUGACAUGCCUGAUAGAAAAAUAACCCUAAAUCUGGGUAAUCCAGUUUGCAGAACAUCUGAAGCAUAAGUCAUUUCAGAGUUUGAACCAAACCCAAAUCCAUUCACAUCAAAUCAAUUUAUUUAAUUAUUUCAAAACCACCUUCCAAUUCCACCCCCAGAGCCUAUUUAUGUGCCUUGCCAGUAUAGCUAGCAUUGUGGACUGGCUUCCGUUUAUAUUCACAUGUAGAACAAUAGGAUGCACUAUAAAAAACAUGCAUUUUGUGACAUAUCCAUCUAAAUGUGUCAGCGUAUGGCAGGGGAUCCUUUUCUGCAGGUGCAAGCUUUGCAAAUGGCAGUUGUAUUAGAAAAGUCUCAUCUGACAUACAAACUGUGGAGUUAAGUGGUACCUGUGUGAACACAAUGAGUAUCGGUUCUCUCCAUCCAUGGAUAUUUUUCUGAGUAAGAAAAAGCUUAGCUUUGUAAAGAGUACGAUAAAGAGUAGGAAAGAUCACUUCAGUAAGUUGCAAAGAAUAGUCGUGCAAAUCCAAAAGGGUAAUUUUGUGAAGUGAUUAAUUGCUUAUGCUGUGAAGGCUGCAUGGCCUGAAGUAAAAAUGCACAUGCUAUCAUCACCAGAUUUUUUAAGAGUUCAGUAACAAAGGUAGAGGAUAUAUAAUUUACAAACCUUUUCAAGACAUCUUGGGAACUAAGAGGCUAGAAAUAAAAGACAUGCUGAUGUUUACAUGAAUACACUGCCAAAUGUAACGUCUUAUGUUUUCAAUUAGGGAUGCACCUUGUCUUCUGCAGGUGAGACCCAACAAAAAAGAAAAACCCUCCAGCAAAAGAAUGGAGAUUUAUUUUGGUUGUCAGAGGUAGCUUGUUGCCAUCCACAGACUAUCAACUCUACUUGCACUUGCUAAAUUCACAGACCUUCGCAUUUUGGGACUUUUCUGACUUUUAUCUGAAGUAGUUUGCCCUUUUUUUGCAGAGAAAUUACUUUGUACUGCCCCAAAAUCCCACUCUUAGAUUUGGUGGUCUUGUACCCUGAGAAACCGAGGACUCACAAGUCUCCUCAUUCUUCUCUCUGUUUGCUCAAUUUUUUCCCUUUCCUCCAUUAAGCUCAUUUGCUAAAUGUUUCUCCAUGCUUUCUCUGCUGUUAACUCCAUCAUUUCAUGGAGUACCAGGUAAUUUAAAAGGAGGACAAUUUCACAGAAUCAUUUGGGUUGGAAGGGACCUCUUGAGAUGAUGUAGUCCAAGCCCCUGCUCAAGCAGGGUCCCUAGAGGCAGUUACCCAGGACUGUGUCCUGGGGGGUUUUGAGCAUCUCCCAGGAUGGAGACUCCACAGCCUCUCUGGGCAGCCUGCUCCAGAGUUUGGCCACCCUCACAGUAAAAAACCUGUUUUUUGCUGUGUUCGUGUUUACCCUUAGUAAAGAGAUUUAGCAGUCACAAACCUGUCACACCUUCCAACCUGUUUCUUCGCACACCUUGUUGACUGCUGUUAGGGAAAGACUCGUGACUGUGGGAACUCUGCAAUUACAGACAUGUUCGUUCUUUUUUACAUCCUUGGUCCAAAGCUAACUGAUAUCUUUAUCUUCAACUGGGACCUUAAUUUUACCAUUUUCCUAGACGAAAAUGUCAGUAUUUCCAUGUUUGCUGUAUUUGAUUCCCUGUUAAAUUCCCUCUCAUUUUGUUUUAUUCUGUGUAUACAACUCUUACUGACAUUUAAUCAAGAAAACUAGUGACCUGUCAUAGCCUUUUCCCACUGCUAUUAUACUAAGACCUGACAUGUCUUAAAGUGAAUUCCUGUCUUGUUUCAGAAUAUUUGCUCUUUGUUUUGCAGUGUUAAUACUACACAAUCUCUUCACCUCCCAAACCUAUACAUUCUUCCAGACCAAAGUGUUUUUCGUUUUACCUUGUGUCUUGCAUCCAAAAGUCAUAAUAUAAUGCUGGACCACGUUUUUGCUUACCACGAAAGGUUUUUUUCAGAACUCUAUUAUGCAUUCUUACCAUUGUCAGUGCCCUCUUCCUGGCUCCUACCCUCUAAUUGUUAUGAGUUUUCUAUGCUCAUCUUCUGAAUCUGUCAUUUUCACCCUUUAUAAUCAUAUCACACAUUCUUAUCACACCCAAGCUUUUUUUUUCUCUUCAUGUUCAAGGCUCCCCAAGCCCCCUACAAUAAAAGGGGACAAUAAAGACUCCUUCUGCGAACCAACAAAAAUGGUGUGAACAUGUGGUUGCACACAUGUGCUGAAUCUCAUCUUUGCUUCAGUGAAAGCAGGUUGUUACCCCUGGAUAUCUCUGGCUACACAGCAAACAAUUCUGCUUUGCUUUACAACGGGUUUUUAAGGAGGGAGAGAACCUUAUGUGUUAAUCAUAUCAUCAGUACUCACAGUCAAGGCCCCUAGGGAAAAAAACAAUACUAAAAAUUACAAGAAUUUUAUCAGUAAAAGUAAUCUGGUUUAAUACAAAUUUUAAUUUGACUUUGAAUGCAGCCAUUUCUUUAACCAGAGGUUUUUUCUAGGAUCACUCUUAAUUUGUACAGUUGAGUAAAUUUCACCAGUUCAGACACCCAAGAAGCUGUUUUUGCAAGAAUCAAUAAAACCAUCUUAUUCUUAAUCACUUUGUAUAAAUAAGACAACAAAUUAGUGCAUAAUAAGAAGUCUUUUGUAGCAAAGGACAGACUAAAGUCCCAAAAGUAUAGCCUAUGAUAUAUUAGAAUAAAUAAAGGAUGUAACCAGAUAAAACAGGAAGAGGUGCUGCCCAGGCAUAGUCUAAACGUGUUAGUUUUUAUUUUACACUGUAAUAAAUACUGUUUCUGUAUCAAAACAUAGCUUAUAUAUAUCCUGAAUGCUUAGCAACUUCCAGCUACUUUAAUUUCUUCAAAUUGGAAUUACAUAGUCUCUCUACUGUUACGUCUUUCCCUAAGCACAUCUCAGGAAAAUAGUAUUAAGCACCAGUAACUUUUCUGCCACAUAUAAAGUCAUGGGUUCAGGGACUGGCUAGAAAGAGAAUUACAUUAAAACACAUCAAUAUUUUAUGGGGAUUUCCCAGCUUGAAUAUAGCAGAAUAAAACCUGUAUCUGUAAGGAAUAUGCAUUUCAGUACUUCAGCAGGGCAGUACAAUAAGGUAAUUAGCAAAUGUAAAACCAAGACACAAUUCUUUCGUAAACUGACUUAUUCAGGCAGGGCUGGAAAACCGGAGUGGCACUCGGGAGUGACCGCCCAUGCCACUGCGGUGUGCUGUGUCUUCAGGUUUUCUUUCAUCCCGAUGUGGGUAUCGCCUCUGCAAUCAAGUUCUUUGCAACUUGAGGUGAGCAGUAGAUCAACUGGGCACUAUGGGAGGCUUGCCAGAUUAAUUUGGCCUGCUGCCUGUUGUUCAAUCUGGAGUCAUUGAAGCCCCGGGUUUCCCUGGGACCGUGCUGCCAAAUACUCCAUAUGGGAUGCCCAGAAAUAUUGCCUAAUGUUAGGGAGAUUUAGUUCUCCUGUGUCUCAAUGGGCCUAUACAUUUUUAACAGCAAUCCUUGUUUUUACCUUCCAAAUGAACCUUGAAAAGGUCUUGUGAACCUUAUUAAAGAAUGAGGUUUUAAAUUAUGUGACAUAGCUGUAGUUGACAUAGGCUACAGAGGAAGACAUUUAUUUCCAGAAGUUACAUCUGUCCUACAGCUGAAGCAGGAUGAGUCAUUCCUAAAGUGUAAUCGUGUCAUUGAGCUUUGGCCCACAGACUAGAGAGUACUCACAACCUCUGUCCCGUAUUGUGUUGACCCGAACAGCGUAUAGGCCAUGAUAUCUUCCGGUGAAUUCCUUCGCAGCGGCAAAGUAGCUUCAUUUGCAGAAAAUGGGUCAGGCAAUGGGACCAACAAUAGGGACAAUAAAUAAUAAAACAAGAGUUAAUCAGACUGUAACAGCGUGUUUUCUUAUUGCAAAAAUUACAGUCUUUUCCACAAAUGUAAGCCUGUCUUUAAUACAGCAGAAAUGCUUAGAUCAAUCAGAAUGCACAUUUUGUAUGGUACUAGGGAAUUUAAAAGGCAAAAGAAUUUACCAUUAGAAAAUAGAUUUGUUUGUGGAAUUACAUAUUUUAGUCUUAUUAAUGGCACAGCGCUCUGUCCUAUGGCACUCUACACAGUCUAAUGCUUUUCAUUACUCAUGAAAGAGCUGCACGAGCAGGUUAUAUGCUAUUUGCUCAAUGUUCUAGGUUAUUUAAUAUGGGAUUUUUUUUUAAUGAUCUGAAAUACUUGGCAGAGUUGGUGGAAAUCCAGUGCUGUUCAGGGCUUUACUUCAGUGUUAGUCUGCAAGAGCAUCCUGCAGGGUGCAUGUUUUGGGAAGGAACCGCGAUAUGGACUUGGCAGUGUUAGGUUUAUGGUUGGACUCAAUCAUCUUAAAGGUCUUUUCCAACCUAAAUCAUUCUGUGAUUCUAUCUAAAAUAAAAUUGGGCCAUCUGUGGGACUUAUUGAUCUAGCACAAGAAUUUGGAAUUUAAGCAAAAUUAUUUUCUUUGAAACAAGUAUUUAAUGGGAAAAAAAAAAUCACUGUUUUUUCCUUGUUUUGUGACUGAAAGGAACAGUAAUUUUUAAAAGCACUGAAACUCAGCAAAACAUGGUAUAGAAUGCCAAAUAUGCUUUCCCUAAAGAUUUUCUAUUCUUACAAAUUUCUGAUUACGCCACUGGUUUUCUGUCAGGCUAAAAUGUCAGUGAAAAUAUAUAGAAUUAGACUUUCUUCCCUCAUCCUAAAUCAUCUGGGAGAUGCAGCAAUCAGUAAACAGAGCUGAGGUUCUCAUACUUCUUACGGUGCCUGUGAAAUCUUUUUGAAUUGCUCUUAAGAUGAACCUAUAACUGUUAAGAUGAAUAAAAAGGUGUGAUCUUGCUUCACGAUCAUACACUUUGUUUAGAAUUUUGUUAAAAUACCUCUAAUUUAUUCCAAAAGUUUGUUUCUGAACUAUUUUUGCCCUCUGAUAAUGUAGUCAAUUAAUAAGCAUUGAACAGAUAAAGAGUGAAGACUUUAUCAAAACUUUCAAAUACAUCCUCCACUUGCUGCUUUUCAAAAGUAAUCGAAAAACAACCAUAUUGUUGAACAAUGAAGAUUUAGGGUGGUCUGAGAACAACCUUAAAGUUGAAUCUCUUUUUAGUUGGCCUGUGACUCUAUUAUGGUGUCACACACUGCCUUCAGGUCUUUCCCUUGGGUGGCUAUUUGUGCAACGUGGUAGCAAUUUACUUUACGUCAACUGGAACUUGUUUAUAGAAAGCAUGUAGUUUUACAUCAUACUUUUCCUUUGUUUUCUUCAAAAGUACUUACAUGCUUUUGUUUUCUUAGAAAUAUUCUUUGAGAAAAGACAGUAACUCAAUAGAGGUAUUAAUAUUUUAUUUUGGAUUAAUUUCUGUUUUGCUUUUUGCGAUUUCAGAUAAAAUGUUUUUGAUGAUUAAUGUGUCAAUAAGAACAGUAAACAUUCUUCAGGAUGCUUUAUGACCAUCUUUUUAACAGCACAGAGAUAAGACAGUAUUUUGGAUUAAUUUUUUUUUCUCUUUCCGCAUCAAAAGGAUGUAAGUAUUACCAGACAAAACAAAAUAAAAUAUUCACUCUUCUUA